UACGUAGGGUGCAAGCGUUAAUCGGAAUUACUGGGCGUAAAGCGUGCGCAGGCGGUUUUGUAAGUCAGAUGUGAAAUCCCCGGGCUUAACCUGGGAACUGCGUUUGAAACUACAAGGCUAGAGUGUGACAGAGGGGGGUGGAAUUCCACGUGUAGCAGUGAAACGCGUAGAGAUGUGGAGGAACACCGAUGGCGAAGGCAGCCCCCUGGGUUAACACUGACGCUCAGGCACGAAAGCGUGGGGAGCAAACAGG
rnacentral:rRNA from 1 species